UACGAAGGGGGCUAGCGUUGCUCGGAAUUACUGGGCGUAAAGCGCACGUAGGCGGCUUUCUAAGUCGGGGGUGAAAUCCUGGAGCUCAACUCCAGAACUGCCUUCGAUACUGGAGGGCUCGAGUCCGGGAGAGGUGAGUGGAACUGCGAGUGUAGAGGUGAAAUUCGUAGAUAUUCGCAAGAACACCAGUGGCGAAGGCGGCUCACUGGCCCGGUACUGACGCUGAGGUGCGAAAGCGUGGGGAGCAAACAGG
rnacentral:rRNA from 1 species